rnacentral:misc_RNA from 1 species
AGAAAGGGUGGUAGAAGAGGAAGGAGGCUGUGAAUUCUUCUCAGCAACAUACAUGCUACAUGGCGGAAUAUUUUGGUUAAGAAUGCAACUCUGUUUGUGUUUUACAACUUAGUUUUGAACAUUUUGUAGCCAGAGUUGCAAGUCAUUCUGACUUGUGAUCAUUGGAGCUUUUUCAAUCUUGUGAGAUGGAAAUUAUUUUGUUGAGUUGGAUUAGUAAGUUGACUUCGUCAUUAUCUUCAUUAAAAAGUGAACACUUUUUGUUGCUUCGUCUU